GCUGGGAGGCGGGGAGCCCGGCAACCCGAGCGACGGGAGGUGUGCGGAGUCGGGAGUGGCCAGCCAAUCAAGAGGGCAGUGCCAUCUCAGGGAAUGACGCUCGGGCCAAUGGGAAGGGCACUCCAUUCCGUCAACGCUGUGGGUCGAGGCUCUGAGAAAAGAGAGCAGGGUGGGAGUCAGCCAGGUUGGUGUGUGCCCAGGGGAGGGGAAACGGAGAGAAGUUCCUGGGAAGAACUGCGGGAAUGUGCGGCUGGAAUUCACUCUCCUCCCGCCUAGGCUGCGGAGGGAGUGCUGGGCCCUGCUCGCGGAUUCCCUGCCACUCCCAACAGUGCGGUCCAGGGUCCCUCCGCCACCCAUCACUCCAUCCCUGGGAUUCCAGUGCCUUAAGAAAGAUGCGCUGUUCGAGAAGGCACGUUCCUUAUGUUCUGUAUUUUCCUCUCCGUUUCAUUAUUCGCUUUUUCACAAUUACUGAAACCAUAAUGAUGGAAUAGAAUGUGGAGCCUUCCUCUUUCUCUUUCUUUCUUUCUUUCUUUCUUUCUUUCUUUCUUUCUUUCUUUCUUUCUUUCUUUCUUUCUCUCUCUCUCUCUCUCUCUCUCUCUCUCUCUCUCUCUCUCUCUCUUUCUUUCUUCGCUAAAGCUUAGCAAAAGAAGAAUGCAGGUUUUUUGGUGAAGGAAAAUAUAAAUAAAACCGUCAGGGGUUUUUCUUUUACUCAUCUACACGCAUAAGUGGGCUAAGUAAAUGCAACUGCCUUCUACAUAAAUUAGAGCGCGUAAAGAUUAAAAAUGCAUGGACAAGGAGUAUUUCAAAUUCUGCUAUGACAUAUAAUAUUAAUCCGUUUUAUGUAAAAUUCAUACCUGUAACUUAAUUUAGGUCAUUAAUGCACCACUUCACGCAUUAGCGUAUCCUGCUUUAAAUAAGGUUGUGAGAAUUGGCAACAAAGCAUAAAAUUCACACUUCUAGUCCUGAGAUCCUGUUUGGGCCCCACCCUGCAAAAACGCCUGUUCAUUAAGGACGUUUUGUGUUCGAUUUCUAACGGAAAAGCUGUCCUUCAAGGGUUCAAAAUUAAACUGCACAAUGAACUCUGGUGGGAUGUUGUGUGUACCCUUCAAGAAAUAAUUAAGCCCUUCAGAUGAGAAAUGAGCACUAGUGCUGAUACAGACUUACUCCUGCUGCCUUUAGGUUGCUGAUGCCAGGCUGGAAACACUGAUAACCUCUUGGUUUGCUCAGUCUUACAAAAAAGGCUUACAGAAAAAAGGGUGUUGUAAAUUCAGUGUAGCCUACUAGACAUGGCCCUGCAAAAUACCUAUCCCAGGAGGUUUCAAAGGUAGUCUGGUUUAAUAGGAUGUAGCUAUGUUUUAAAAAAAAGUCCUCCUCAGGAUGCAAAAAACAAAAGGAAGGAAAAAAUGGCAUUUGUUUUACCUUGGAGAUAUGAAGAGUUUAGGUUCUGAAGUCUGUGCUCCAAUUUUGGCUUCCUUGCUACCUACUUUUAUAUCAUUAAACUAGCUUCCUAAAUACCUGUACCUUUCUUAUUUUCAAUUACAAUAAAAAUUAUAUGUACUUCAUAAGGUGCUUAUUCAAUACACACACACACACACACACACACACACACACUUAAGUGGCCUCUGUGCAAGAAAGUGUGUUAAGUGAAUGUCACAUAGUAAGUGGGCAAUGUUAAAAUUUUUGUUGCUUUUGGUAAAUAUUAUCUCACAGUCUGUGGCUUGUCUUAUAUUCACUUCAUCUCUUUCAAGAGCAGAAAUUUUAAAUUUUGGUGAAGUCGUUUGUCAGUGUGUCCUUUUAUAGUUCAGGCAUUUGGUAUUAUAUCUAACAGAUUUUUUUUUUAUAAUUCAGGGUGACAUAGAUUUCUCCUAUGUUCAGGUAUCUGGUCCUUGUUUUCUGUAUUAUGUUUAGGUCUAUGAUUUAUUCUGGAGAUUUUUUUUUUGUAUGUGGUGCAAGAUAUGGGUGGAUAUUGAUACUUUUGCAUAUUUUAAUUCAGUUGUUCCUGAAACUUUUGUUGAAAAACUUCUUUUGUGUUAAAUUGCCUUUGCAGUUUUGUCAAAAGUCAUUGUAUAUAGGUGUCCUUCUAUCUGUCCUCUAAAUUCUGCUCUAUUCUUCUACUUACUAGUUUUUUAUGCACAACCAUAUUGUGUUUAUUACUAUAGCUUCAUAAUAAGUCUUGAAAGCAGAUAAUGUUGGCCAUUGAGCUUCCUGCUGAGUUCCUCUUUUUGACUAUUCCAGGUAUAUUGCAUUUUCAUGUGAAUUUAUGAGUCAGUUUGUGAAUUCCUUCCAAGAAGGACUUACAUUCAAAACAUAUAAAGCAUGGAGAGCUCACUAGGAGAGUGCCUGCAUAGCAUGCUUGAACCUCUGGGUUUGAUUCCUAGCACAGAAAAAAAAAGUGUUCACAAAACAUUUAAAGUAUCUCUACCCAUUAUAUAUAAAGAACUCUCAAAUUCAACAAUAAGAAAGUGAACAACCCCAGUUUUAAAAGUGGGCAAAAGAGUUGAACAGACAACCUAGUAAAGAAUAAGUAAAAAUGGUAAAUAAAUAAGCUGCUUGAUAUCAUUGGUCAUAAGAAGCAUACAUUUCACAACUACAAUGAAGCACCACCACAUACCUGUGAAAACUGCUAAAAUUAAAGACUGAACAUGCUAUGUAUUGGUGAUUCUGGAGAGCAGCUAUCAUGCACUGUCAGUGGAUAGGAAUAUAAAAUUAUGAAGACUACCU
rnacentral:lncRNA from 1 species